rnacentral:rRNA from 1 species
AUGGCGGGGCUCGCCGACGAGUUCUUCCUCGGCAUCGACGAGGACGGGCCGGGGUCGCUCGGGGAGCCCUCCUACCUCUCCUUCUCCGACGCCUUCGAGGAGGAGGAGCACCACUUCACCCACUCCGACAUCUCCCCCAACUUCGACAUCGAAUCUCAAACCCUAACCCCCGCCCCGGGCUCCCCCUUCUCCUUCGACUCCGACCACGACCUCGACCUGGACCUCAGCCUCGGCCUCGGCCGCCUCUCGCCGUCCUUCCUCCGGAUGCGCAGCCCCUCCCCGGCCCGCUCCCCGCCCUUCUGGGACUGCCUCGAGGAGGACCUCGCCGACGACCUCGCGGACGGCCUCGAGUGGGAGGAGAUCGCCGACGCCGCCGACGCCGACGCCGGAGACGCCUCCGUCCCUGGGGGCGGCGGUGGGUGCGGGGCGGGAGGAGGAGGCGGAGGGGGCGACGCCGAUGCCGACGUGUUCGGCUUCCUCAGCGAGCGGGAGAUCCUGGGCGUCAUGGAGGGGAUCGACAGCGGGGAGGACGAGUCCAUGUUCUCCGACGAGCCGCCCUUUGAUUUCGGCGACGAGGGCCCGGAGCUCGACGACAUAUUCCGGAGCGUCGGCUGGGAGGUGCUGCCGGUGCCGCUGGAUGAAGACGAGUUCGAGGUGCUGCCGGGGCAUAUGGCGGACGUGACGGUGGGGGGCGCGCCACCUGCGGCUCGGGCAGCGGUGGAGCGGCUCCAGGUGGUGGCGAUCAGUGGGGAGGAGGCCGCACAGGGAUGCGCUGUGUGCAAGGACGGGAUCGUGCAGGGGGAGCUCGCCACGUGGCUGCCGUGUGCACACUUCUACCAUGGGGCGUGCAUUGGGCCAUGGCUCGCCAUACGCAACUCAUGCCCGGUGUGCCGUUACGAGCUGCCCACUGAUGACCCUGACUAUGAGCAGCGGCGGGCCAGGCGGCGUUCUGCUGGUGGCUCCACAGCACAGUUGGGCACACCUAUGCAGAUGUGA